AUGGGGCGAUCACUAAGCAGCAACCACCCUUCCACCCAAACGACACUCCCCACCCUGCUCCUGCUCCCCAGCCUUGACAAAAGGGGGAGUCCCGGUGGGCAGGGAUCACAGCCACUGACCCACCUGCGCCAGCCCCCAGCCGGACUCGAGUCCGCUCCAGAUCCGUCCCAGGUUUUUCCUCCGCGUCGCUGGGGUCUCCGCCCCUCGGAGUCGCCGCGGGAGCCACCCGUGUCCCCAAACUCCAGGCGCCCGGGGCCCGCGUCUACUUGGAAGUCCAAGUCUGACCCGACGGCGACCCUGACCCCCGCAGACCGUCCUCGCCGCCUCCCAGCACCGGUGGGCUCUCAGCAUCCUGGCUCCUUCUCGGCGAGGGUGAUGAAGCUAGAAGCCAGUGGUGCAACAGCCACCUUAGAGGUCCCUAAGACGACUGCUCCAGAUGUGGACCCAGUUCUGAAACCCAACCAUGGAAGACAGGGGCCAAGUCCAGGUCUGGCUCUGGGCUUCAGGAUGAGGCAAGGGAGCUGAGCCAGGACUUGCGGUCAAGGCUGAGUCCUUGGGUAUGGAGCUCAGGUCAGAUGGAGACCUGAAGCAGAGAUGGAGCCAUUGGACUUCGUGGCAGCCAUGGAACUGGAGUUUGAGGAGGUGCUGGCCAUCUUGAGCAUGUCUACGAUGGCCUUGACUACUUCUGAGCUGACACCGCAGCGGGCUCUGGGAUCCCGACCACACUGCGGCGCUGGCCAAGUGUGAUGGAGGAGUCGUGAGAGCUGAGGAGAAAGGUCCAAGUGAAAAGGGACGAAUCGGGGUCUGGGGAUUUAGCCGCGCCUGCCUGGCAAGCACAAGGUCGUGAGUUCGAUUCCUGGUACUGGAGGAAAACAAAGGGGGGGGGACGAAUCUAGAUUGGAUGCCCAGAUAUUAGGAAGGAGAGGGGAUGAACUUCUCCCCAUGCCUCACUGGAUUGCUGAGGAAAUACAGCCCGCCAUGGUACCAAUGGGUAGGCUGUGGGAUCCAGGAGGUGUGUCCCCGAGGGUGGGAUGGGACCAUGAAGACUCUCAAACAGUAAGUGGGGCACGGAUGGCUGAAAUCGUAGCACUGUGGGAGGCUGAUGCAGGAUUGUAAGUUCAAGCCCAGCCUGGGUAACUUAGUGACUCAAACUCUGUUUAAAAAAAAAAAAGAAGGCCCCGGGUUCAGUCCCUCAUCGUCUCCUGCUGCCAUUCUCCCAAGCCUACAAACAGCAGAGAAACAGCUGGGGUUUUUCUGGGGUGGGUGACAGCUUUGCAGUUUAAGGAUCCAUUUGAGAGUUUCUAGGGACUGGACCACGAAACCUGAAACCAGGGAGCAGUCAGAGGGGGACCAGGCCCCACCUCCCCCGCAGACAGAGCGCAGAACAUGGGCCUAGAAGCUGAAGACCAGCUGAGCUAGGCUGGGCGAGUAGCUAAGAGGUAAGGGGGUGCGGCAGGAGCUAGGGAACUUGGCAUUACCGUGGGGGUGAAGCCAAGGAGAGAGGGCGUGGAGAGCAGACAGGGACCAGGUGCCAGAGGAACUGGCACAUCUUAACAGGUGGAAGAGGCCCAAGUGGAAAGAUUUCUGCCGGCUCUGCCAUCCGAGACCCAAGUGCCCCGGCGGCAGCAGAAGUAGGGUGAGCGCCCCCUAACGGCGGCGGUCUGCAAAAGGCGCCCGAGCCGGUGGAUGCCACUGACACCAAAGAGCUAGCUCAACCAGGGUGUGGCCGCGGUCCUCUAGUCGCAGCUGGUCAGGCGACAGCACCCGGGAGUCAAGGUGGCACAGCUUACCUGAGGCGACCAGCUGGACCCCCAGGAGCUAAAGAAGCAUCACUUAAUCACCAGGCAGGUAAGGAUAAAGGAUGGCCUGUCUCUGCUGGGACAUAAAGGCGUCCAUCCCAGCCCAGAGCAUUUGUACCUUUUUCAGUACUGAAGCUGCACUCCCAGUCCUUCCCUCCACUGUUUAGACAGGGUUUCGUUAUUGAAUUGCCUGAGCUGGGCUCGAACUUGUGAUCCUCCCGCCUCAGCCUCCCGGAGUGCCGGAAAUACAGGUAUGCGCUACUGUGCCAGGAAUUGCUUCUUUUUCUCUGGGUUUUACUGAGUGGAGCUGCCUGUGAGCCUUUGACCUUACCCAGACCCUUUUGCUAGAGAAAAUCAACUCAUGUCUGACUUCAAAUCCUUAGUCCUGGGGCCGGGGAUAUAGCUCAGUGGCACAAGCGCCUACCUGGCAAGUGCAAGGUCCUGAGUUUGACUUCCGGUACCAAAAAACAAAACAAAACAAAAAACCCCCCAAAACCUCUUAGUCCUAACUUCCAGACUUCCAUGCGCCUGCCGUGCCUACAUCCAUCCAGCUGCUCUUCAAGCACACAAACAUUCUAAGUCGAGCCUCUGUCCUCGCUCUCCAUCUGCCCCACCCAACCUACUGACCUGCUUCCUUCCAUUCAUCUCCUGGGAGACCCAGAGAUGCGUGUGCCCAUCUCCUGGGGAUGAAGGUAUGGGGAGCCCCAUCCCUCCUACCCUGGGGGACCCAGGCUCUCUCACACCCUACUCCCCCGCAGUCCCUCCCGGUCCUCCUGAGGGCCCUGGGAGGGAAGUAGAGUGAAGACAUGGGGAGGGGGGUUACUAGGCUGGCCCAUGCUCACUCAUGCCCCCCCACAGGUGGCACCAUAGCCGCCUCUGAUGUCGCCCUCCAGGCAGUGCCGGGUGCUUCCCACUGGGAUCACCUUUCAGGACCGGCUGUGCUCUGGCCAGGGACAGCGACCUGCGCCUAAUGGCGGCCAAGGGCCUGGACACCGAGGGCACCCACUCAUGCUGGGUUCGGCCCUCCUCCCGGUCUGCACCGCAGCCACAGCAAUGGUGCCACCUCAACAUGGCCGCUGCAGUGCCAAGUUCCGCGCUUCGCCAGCCUCAGCGUCAUGUGCCAGCUCUCCCUGGCACCCCAGCUGUGGCCACAGCUGGCUCAUUUCUGCCAGGCUGGCCUGGGGCUUGAACUGGUCAAGGGUUCUACUAAACAUCUGGGGCUUCUCCCCCCAGUGCAGAGGGAAGACGCUCUUUUGAUUCACACCCUUCCACACGUAUCCCACACCUGCCACUUCCGAGUCGCACCCCCACUCCCUGAGGUCCCCCCUAACUCCUACCCUUACCGGGUGUCCAUUCCCACCUUCCCUUUUCUCUUUACCUCUGUCUCCUAUCUUGUCUCUAGCAUUCCCAAAUAUCUUUGCCUAAAUCCAGACCUGAACUGCUGUUUUUUCUUCUAGGUGGGGCCAUGGGGUAUUGAACCCAGGACUUCCCUACUGAGCUAUACUGUCCCAUCCCUUUUUUAUGUAUUUUUUUCUUUUGAGACAGGAUCUUGCUAAAUUGCCCAGAGUUUGCUCUAACUUGCUAUCGUCCUGCUUCAGCCUCCUGGAGUGAUGAGAUUACAGGCUCACACUAUCACAUCUGGCUGUGAACCGCUGGAUUAGAGGGAUCCCCUUGCACUGCUAUUUAUUAUCCAACUUCUCCCCUUCCAAGAACUGGUCCCUUCCCGUGGGCGGACCUGGCCUGGGAGUGAGCUCCGCCCUCCCUGGCUUCUCCCUUCUGCCCCCUCGUGGGUGAAAGCGGGUAGAAGUCUGUCCGGGCCCAUCUGUUGCUCCUCUUCCCCGACCCUUUCUAAAACUUCACAGCCGCCAUCACUCCCCUCCUCCCUGCCCCCCUCAGCCUUCUGUGCCCCUAGAUCAGGGCCAUCUCCCUGAUUCUGUCCCCCACCCCCUCCUCCCUGGACCUCCCGCACUCUUAGCUCUUUUCCUGCCCUUCCGUUUCCCUUCUCAGCCUCCACACAGGCCCAGCGUGCAGUACGGAAAGAGACCUGUAAAUGAAAUACCGAAAACGUCCCCCUAUUUGGUCUCUGUUUACCUCUGCAGUACUUUCCUGAGCCUGCCCCUCCGACUUUGCCGGACAUCGCAUCCCUCCCCUCAGACCCAGCUCACCUGCGGUUCUGGCUGGAAGCUUUGGUGCCGGCGAGGUCAGGCUCGCGGCCUGGAAUGAGGCUGUCUGUCUCCUGGUUCCACCGGAUGCCCUCUAGGGGACUGGAACAUUCCUGGUAUUUCCGGACACUUCUCCCAAACUCUGGAUCGCAUAUGAUUUUUGGACUUUGAGAGCCUGCUAUUUAAAUACAGAUAGUAACUGCUGCAUUUGAAGAGCCCUGUCUCCUAGACUGGAGCCCCACAGCAACGUCAGAGGGAAGAAACACGCUCAGUGACUUGUAAGUCACUCUCAGGCACUGGGAGGCUGGCAGGGGUUAGAACGCAGGCAUGCCAAGCCCAGAGCAUGCCCAGAAGCUCUCUCCCUGUGGUGCUGUUAGCUCCAACUUCUUGUUGGACAAUGGACAGUUGCUAGGGAAAUGUUGACCAUAGCAACAGGGUUCGCUGGGCAUGGAAUCCAAGAUGUGGGCAGAGGAGGGCGCCAGGAAGGUGGGAGAAAGGUGGGCAAAAGGGACAGUUUCUCCCCUUCAUCACUUUCCCCAGCUCCGACUUUGGGGCCACCUCCCUGGUCAUUUCCUCCAUGGCCGUCUCACAAUAAAAGGGACCUUUUGCCUGCGCUCUGUGUGCGGUUCACUUCUUCUCAGUGGGAAGGGAUGAGACACAUUCUCUCCCGGCUUCCUCGGCAGCCUGUAUUAGAGAGGAUCUCCAA
rnacentral:lncRNA from 1 species